AUGGCCACAGUCAUUACCCACUGUCUGGACAUGGCCACAGUCAUGAUCCACUGUCUGAACAUUGCCACAGACAUUACCCACUGUCUGGACAUGGCCACAGUCAUGAUCCAUUGUCUGGACAUGGCCACAGUCAUGAUCCACUGUCUGGACAUGGCCACAGUCAUUACCCACUGUCUGGACAUGGCCACAGUCAUGAUCCACUGUCUGGACAUGGCCACAGUCAUUACCCACUGUCUGGACAUGGUCACAGUCAUUACCCACUGUCUGGACAUGGCCACAGUCAUUACCCACUGUCUGGACAUGGCCACAGUCAUUACCCACUGUCUGGACAUGGCCACAGUCAUGAUCCACUGUCUGAACAUUGCCACAGACAUUACCCACUGUCUGGACAUGGCCACAGUCAUGAUCCAUUGUCUGGACAUGGCCACAGUCAUUACCCACUGUCUGGACAUGGCCACAGUCAUUACCCACUGUCUGGACAUGGCCACAGUCAUUACCCACUGUCUGGACAUGGCCAUAGUCAUUACCCACUGUCUGGACAUUGCUACAGUCAUUACCCACUGUCUGGACAUGGCCAUAGUCAUGAUCCACUGUCUGAACAUUGCCACAGACAUUACCCACUGUCUGGACAUGGCCACAGUCAUGAUCCAUUGUCUGGACAUGGCCACAGUCAUUACCCACUGUCUGGACAUGGCCACAGUCAUUACCCACUGUCUGGACAUGGCCACAGUCAUUACCCACUGUCUGGACAUGGCCAUAGUCAUUACCCACUGUCUGGACAUUGCUACAGUCAUUACCCACUGUCUGGACAUGGCCAUAGUCAUGAUCCACUGUCUGAACAUUGCCACAGACAUUACCCACUGUCUGGACAUGGCCACAGUCAUGAUCUACUGUCUGGACAUGUCCAAAGUUCAUUACUCACUGUCUGGACAUGGCCACAGUCAUGACCUACUGUAUGAACAUGACCACAGACAUUACCCACUGUCUGGACAUGGCCACAGUCAUGAUCUACUGUCUGGACAUGUCCAAAGUUCAUUACUCACUGUCUGGACAUGGCCACAGUCAUGA
rnacentral:lncRNA from 1 species